rnacentral:lncRNA from 1 species
AGAGGUGGGAAGGGAAGGAGGAGAAAGCAAGCAAAAGGGGGCAGGCGGGGCUGUGAGGUGGAGGUGGGGAAAUAGAAGCGCUGCAGGCUCUAAGCUAGUGAGGUCACCAAAAGAGUGAGGCUAACACAGGGCAAGGUGGUGAAAAGGUGGCUUCUGUUUUCAAGUUUGUUUUUGUGGGGAGAAUGUCUGUCUCUCUGCGGCAGUGAGGGCUUGAAGGCUCAGGCGGGUGAUGGGCUUAGAACUUUGAGCCUAUGAUCAGCUUAGGCAUUAGAGAUUUUGGUUUCCAGGCCAUCUGCUUUAUCUGAAGAUUUUCAGCUGAUGAAGAACUAGGAGGCUCAAACACUAUCUUACCUGAGUCCAGGACAAGUGACUUGGAAAGUGUGUUCUUCUGUGACAGGAUCAGGUCUGUCUAGGGCAGGAUGGCCCAGGAUCUCAGCGAGAAGGAUCUGUUGAAGAUGGAGGUGGAGCAGCUAAAGAAGGAAGUGAAAAACACAAGAAUUCCGAUUUCCAAAGCGGGAAAGGAAAUCAAGGAGUAUGUGGAGGCCCAAGCAGGAAACGACCCUUUUCUCAAAGGGAUCCCUGAGGACAAGAAUCCCUUCAAAGAGAAAGGCGGCUGUCUGAUAAGCUGAUGGCACGGAGCCCCGCCCUGAGUGUCUGUCCCUCUUCAGCCAAGCCCAAGUCUCCUAGACCCCCAGUGAGCCAAUGAAGUGUCACCUUCUCUUCAUCACAGAAUGAGUAAAGAUCCCUGAACAAAUGCAUUGUGAACCCAUUCCCCAUUCCCACUUUCCACUCUUUUCUCCCAUUAUUUCCUCCAUCUGCUGGGUCUCUGCUGACUUUGCUGGAACACUCUGAGGACAGUGUGGCUGGCCAAGCAGUUGGCCCCAGGGGUGGUGGGGUGUGAGGAGCCUGCGAUACCAUGAGACCCCAGAGGGCAGUCCUUAGGAAGCAUUUACACCACCUUAGAACCCCUCCGUCUUUUCCCUCCACUCUCUUCCUAGGAAAAAAGCAUUUCCACGCCAGAUUAGUUUGGGUUGGGGGCGGUCCUGUCCCCCCAUAACAUGUCCUACCCUGUGAUCCUGUUCCUAGUCAUUUAGAUCACCCCAGAUGGCCUGAUGACAACAGGAGUUUGUGAAGUUAUGAUUUCAUGACUUAUUUAAUAUUGUCGAGUAGUCUGUUAGUGCUGGGCACUAUGGAUGGAAGAGUGAGCAACACGAACAUGGCUCCUAUUUUCAUGGAAUUUGGUGGAGAAGACAUGAAACAAUUUACAAUUAAGUCCAUAAAUGCUACAAUGGGGAGAGUCAAGGGCCGUGUAGGAACACACAGCAGAAAGACAUUCAGGGCAAUGAGCAAUGUCAAUGUAAAUGCUGUCGAGGGGCGCAGAAUGGGGGCUGGAAAAGCAUGAGGCUAGAGAAGGAGAUUGGGGUCAAGUCUUGAAGGACCUUUUGGUGAACUCAGUUAGGAACUUUGUUCUUCAUCCUAAGGGCAAUAGGAAGCCUAGGAAGGUAUUUAAGCAGAUUCUGGUUAGCAGAAGGGAGGCUGGAUCCUGCUAAGGACUGGGAAUGUAGUGAUGGAUGAGACCAAUUCCUGGGCCUUGCCGGCAUGGAAAGGACUGAAGGAGCUGCAGACAAACCAGCACUCAUGAUACAAUGAGCUCAGUGCAACAUCAGAGAGGUCUGCGAGGGAUAUGAUGGAAUCCCAUAGGAGGGCUACCUAAUCUUGCUGAAGAGGUGCGUUGAGUCCUUGGAAGAAAGACAGGAAAGGCCUUUAGAAGGAGGUGAUAUCUCGAGCUGAGUUCUAAAGGGUUAAGUUGUCAAUGGGUGGAUGGAUGGCACUUCUGGUGGGCCAGUAUAAACAGAGGCAUGAUAUGAGAAAGGACCAUGGUUUGAAUGGGAGCACCAAUCAGGUUGGAGUGGGGAUGUCAAGAGGUCUAGAUCCUUAGGAUCUGUGCUAGAGAGGGCUUGGAGGUGACUAGUGGGGUCUGGCUUGCUGAACUAAACAAACUUAUUUGCUGGGAGUGACUUGGUAAUGUUAGAAGGAAAUUUGCUUUUCUGGUGGGGAGGGUGACAAAGUCUUUCUCUGUCGCCCAGGUUGGAGUGCAGGGGCACAAUCAUGGCUCACUGCAGCCUCUGCCUCCUGGGCUCAAGCAAUCCUCCCACCCCAGCCUCCCACAUAGCUGGGACUACAGGUGUGUGCCACCAUGCUUGGCUAAUUUUUAAAUUUUUUUGUAGCGACAGGGUCUCACUAUAUUGCACAGGCUGAUCUUGAACUCCUGGCCUCAAGCAAUCCUCCUGCCUUGGUCUCCCAAAGUGCUGAGAUUAUAGGCGUGAGCUACCAAGCCUGGCUGGAAAUUUGCUCUUGACAAGAUUGAACAGGGAAAGAGUGAAGGCAGAGAGGCAAUUAAGGAGGUGAUUGUUCCAUCAGGGGUAAAGUGAGGAAGACCUGAAUUAGGGCAGUGGCUGUAAGUCUUGGGGGCAGUAGGUAAGUUGAUGAGUUCUUUGGGAAAUAAAGUUUUCAGAUCUUGACAUUUCUUUGAGUUAUGAGUGAAGGAGAAUGAGUUGUCAAGGAUAGCAUCCAAGUUUCUGGCUUGUAGGGUUUACUAGAUAGAAAUGAAAGCAAGUCUCUGAAAAUAAACCUAAUCUAAUAGUCAUCCUACAUACUACAGCCACAGCCUCCCUUCCCCAGCUGGUCACAGCCUCAAGGGUGAGGUCACGGGGCCUCUGUGGUCAAAAUCCAGGAUCUCCAAUUCCCAAUUCCAUCCUGACUCCAUCUCACCAUUCUGCAAGCUGGUGUCAAUUCAACCACUCUUCAUAUAGUCUGCUCAAGAGAAGGAAAAGAUGAGGAAUGAGAAAGAGAAAACAUUAAAGACAGUAAUUCUUCCUUCAAAAAAACAGGGAAAGGUAAAUAUUCCAUAGGGCUCCAACAGUAAGGAAGGAAAAAAAGAUGGGAGCGCCAGUCAUGCGGCCAUUGGCCAUGUGGCUACAGCUUCCUUCUUCCACCUGCCCAGUCCUUAUUCUCCUGUCUUCAGGCAGGCUCUCACUGGUUGGGGUUCUGGAUCCAGAGCGGCAACUCUAAUCUCUGUUCCUGAGGCUCUUGAACCCUUGGUGGGACUCUGAUUAGAGUAGCAGUUUCUUCAGCCCGCCGUUCCACAGGGUACAAUGUGCCCCAGAUGUUCUCUGGUUCCUCCUGUACCUUUCCUGGCCACCACAGGGUGUGGUAACAAUCACAGGACUCCCUGAGUCUCAGGGUCAGUCAUCAGCCUGACACUCUGACCCCCUUUUCUGUCUCUUCCUAAUGCCAUAGGGAGCCUGAAAUGGCAGGGUAGAAAUCUCAGCUUAUAAAGGGAUUAUGACAUUGUGCCCUGUGGCUUCCUUCCUUCCCUCCCUCCCUCCUUCUCUCUCUUUCUCUUUCUUUCUUUCUCUUUCUUUCUUUCUCUUUCUUUUCUUUCUUUCUUUCUUUCUUUCUCUUUCUUUCUUUUUCUUUCCUUCCUUCCUUGCUUCCUUCCUUCCUUCUUUCCUUCUUUCUUUUUCUUUUUUUCUUCUUUUUUUCUGAGACAGAAUUUUGCUCUUGUUGCCCAGGCUGGUGUGAAAUGGCCUGAUCUUGGCUCACUGCAACCUCCACCUCCCAGGUUCAAGUGAUUCUCCUGCCUCAGUCUUCCCAAGUAGCUGGGAUAACAGGCAUGCACCACCAUGCCCGGCUAAUUUUGUAUUUUUAGUAGAGAUGGGGUUUCUCCAUGUUGGUCAGGCUGGUCUCGAACUCCCGACUUCAGGUGAUCUGACUGCCUUGGCCUUCCAAAGUGCUGGGAUUACAGGUGUGCGCCACUGCGCCCAGCGGGUAGCAUUCCUUUGUUGCAUGCCCAGACCUUCACACUGUUGAUUAGGAGGACAAGAAUGAUCAUUCUGAGAGUGGGUCAUUGAUGCCAUCUGAGCCAUCCUUUCCCUCCUCUAGCCUAGAGAUCCUCGAGUUUUUUAGCCAUGAAGGGAAAACACUGUAAGUUGUUUCUGGUUCCAUUCACAGCACAGCCAGCAACCUUUCUGACAUCACUUAGUCUUUGCAAAGUGGUGUCCACCUACCUGGCACCACCCUGGGUCUUUACUAGAACAGCCUAUCACUCUGUAAAGCCACUUGCUUGUAGAUAACAGACACAUGGUGAGAUCAGAAAAUCCUGUUGACAUUAGCCCCAACCUUAUUUCUUUUUGUUUCUUUGGUAGUUUUAUUUUGAAGAAUUUUAGAUUUACAGAGGAGUUGCAAAGUUAGUACUGAGAGUUCCCUUAACCCAGGUUCCCCUAAUGUUAACAUCUUCAUAACCCUGGUACUUUUAAAAUUAAAAAUU